AAAAGGCUCCACAAGAUGAGAGGGACUGUACGUGCAGAAGUAACCGGCACUCACAUUCCAAAUGAUCUUAAAAAAAUACAGAAAAUCAAUAAUACUCCUAGAGAGGCCCAGACCUUAUUCUGGCCGAGCAGAGAAAAGAAAGGACCAUUAGAGAGAAAAACAAUCAUCACCCAAGACUCUACCGGAUCAAUUAUUACUUUACUUGAGAGACUGAGAAUAAAGGUAAAAGACUGUGA